rnacentral:rRNA from 1 species
CGCAUCUGUGCAUGCAGCAUAUCAAUAAGCGGAGGAAAAGAAACUAACAAGGAUUCCCCUAGUAACGGCGAGUGAAGCGGGAAGAGCUCAAAUUUGAAAUCUUAAAGGGUUUCCCUUUACGAAUUGUAGUUUAAAGAAGUGUUUUCUGUUGAGGUUUUGGUAAAAGUUCUUUGGAAUAGGACAUCAUAGAGGGUGAGAAUCCCGUAUUUGACCUUUACUUUCAACUUUGUGAUACACUUUCAAAGAGUCGGAUUGUUUGGGAAUGCAGUCCAAAAUGGGUGGUAAAUUUCAUCUAAAGCUAAAUAUUGGCGAGAGACCGAUAGCGAACAAGUACCGUGAGGGAAAGAUGAAAAGAACUUUGAAAAGAGAGUUAAACAGUACGUGAAAUUGUCAAAAGGGAAGCGUUUGACACCAGUGUUGUUUUUCUGAAAAUCAAUUAAAGAACUGUUUAUGCUAAGUUGUUUAGACUUUAUCAGCUAACUGUUUAGUUUUGAGCUUUUCUUUAAUGCACUUUUCAGUUAACAAGUCAACAUCAAUUUCUUUUGCUGUAAAAAAGCUUGAGGAGGGUGGCUUGAGAUUCGUCUUAAGUGUUUAUAGCCUCUUGCCUAUGCAGUCGGAGAGAUUGAGGUCUGCAGCGUAGAUCCUUCGGGGCUAAAUGCAUUUGUGCUAAGUUAUAACAUUUUAUAGACAACUUGUUGACUAUGAUUUGUCUUGUAGCUUACUCGCUUAUGUUAUUUUACCUACGCUUAGGAUGUUGAGCGCAUGUCUCUCUCU